UACGGAAGGCAGCAGUGGGGAAUAUUGGACAAUGGGCGCAAGCCUGAUCCAGCCAUGCCGCGUGUGUGAAGAAGGCCUUUUGGUUGUAAAGCACUUUAAGCGAGGAGGAGGCUCUCUUAGUUAAUACCUAAGAUGAGUGGACGUUACUCGCAGAAUAAGCACCGGCUAACUCUGUGCCAGCAGCCGCGGUAAUACAGAGGGUGCGAGCGUUAAUCGGAUUUUACUGGGCGUAAAGCGUGCGUAGGCGGCUUUUUUAAGUCGGAUGUGAAAUCCCCGAGCUUAACUUGGGAAUUGCAUUCGAUACUGGGAAGCUAGAGUAUGGGAGAGGAUGGUAGAAUUCCAGGUGUAGCGGUGAAAUGCGUAGAGAUCUGGAGGAAUACCGAUGGGCGAAGGCAGCCAUCUGGCCUAAUACUGACGCUGAGGUACGAAAGCAUGGGGAGGCAAACAGGGAUUAGAUACCCGU
rnacentral:rRNA from 1 species